AUUGAACGCUGGCGGCAGGCCUAACACAUGCAAGUCGAGCGGAUGAAGGGAGCUUGCUCCUGGAUUCAGCGGCGGACGGGUGAGUAAUGCCUAGGAAUCUGCCUGGUAGUGGGGGAUAACGUCCGGAAACGGGCGCUAAUACCGCAUACGUCCUGAGGGAGAAAGUGGGGGAUCUUCGGACCUCACGCUAUCAGAUGAGCCUAGGUCGGAUUAGCUAGUUGGUGGGGUAAAGGCCUACCAAGGCGACGAUCCGUAACUGGUCUGAGAGGAUGAUCAGUCACACUGGAACUGAGACACGGUCCAAACUCCUACGGGAAGCAGCAGUGGGGAAUAUUGGACAAUGGGCGAAAGCCUGAUCCAGCCAUGCCGCGUGUGUGAAGAAGGUCUUCGGAUUGUAAAGCACUUUAAGUUGGGAGGAAGGGCAGUAAGUUAAUACCUUGCUGUUUUGACGUUACCAACAGAAUAAGCACCGGCUAACUUCGUG
rnacentral:rRNA from 1 species